CCCUUAGAUGUCCGGGGCUGCACGCGCGCUACACUGAGGGAAUCAGCGUGCUAGAAAACCUUGUUUGACAUGGCUAGGUAACCCGUUGAAAAUCUUUCGUGAUUGGGAUCGGGACUUGCAAAUGUGUCCCUUGAACGAGGAAUUCCCAGUAAGUGCGGGUCAUAAGCUCGCGCUGAUUACGUCCCUGCCCUUUGUACACACCGCCCGUCGCUACUACCGAUUGAACGGUUUAGUGAGGGCCUCGGAUUGGUCUCGGCCCGCUCUUUACCGGGCGGCGCCGUUGGUCGAGAAGACGCUCGAACUUGAUCGUUUAGAGGAAGUAAAAGUCGUAACA
rnacentral:rRNA from 1 species